GACAGAACGAAGGGCUCUACGCAGGAAAGGCCUUGGACAAAGAUUCGACUCUUCGCAGGGAGGCUGUCCCGCACAAUUCGCAAAUCAUCGCAUUACCACAAACUAUCAAGCAGAUAUUGUUGAUGAUAUGUGUAUAAACCCCAAUGAGGGAGUGGUUUGGUGACAGAUCAAAGAAUCUGGUCCAUUUUCCUAUCCAUAGCGACUAUGAGGGGUAUAUCGAUACGACUUGAUGGAAGCAGGUGGAAUUGAGGCAGCAUGAUUUGAGUAAUAAUUGAAAGGGUUUUGGAUUUCCGUGAGUAUGAUUGGCAUGCUGAAGCUUCAAGAACAAUUAGCUGGUCGCCCAGUUGGGAGACGUGUUGUUUACGGCACGGCACGUCUGGUAGUCAAGGAGAUCUCACAACGACUCCUGUCCUGUUUUGAAACCUGAUAGGCAGCCUAUAUUAAAGGAUUACUUGAUCAUGCAAGUAACUUACUUUAGACUGGGGCGCGGCAUAGCGAGGUGACAAACAACGAGCAUAUCGAGUCAACCUAUGAAGCGGCAUUGAACCCUUGUAGCAGCACCCAUACUUUCGACCCGUGACUUUAUAAGUCGAGAAUGAAUGGCUAACCCUCGGAGCGCAAAAAAACAUAGGCGUUGAGACUGGCUGAGAGAUGCAAGCGGAGUCACGAAAUUCCGGCAAUCUGUAUAUUGCGAUGGACUUUAUGAUGGACGUUUUCCCGCUGGUAACCCACAUGAUCCGGCAGCCCUGAGUCGCUUGAUACCUUUUUUGAGCAGCACAGCCGAUGUCUUCGAUUGUUGCGAUGCAGUAUCUGGAAAAUGACUGGCUGAUAUAGAUUCUCUACAAUUCUAGGGCCUGGAAUGAGUUUAUUGCUUCUUGCAGCGUGAUUGAAUCUACUCCUUAUUCAAAUUAUUCGAAGGAGGACAAUGUCUCGCAUUUGACUAGAUCAACAGAAGGGAUCCGUGCUGUGUUCUUGUUCGUAGGCCACAAAUCCCCUAACGUUCCCCAACAUACCCACUGUAUCCACUGCGGCACCAACGGGAGCAUAUCAGAGAGCUGGAUUCCCGAAGUCCAGCUUCCUUGCCAUCUGCAGAUACUCCUCACUCAACCAUCGACUUCGCACAGAACUAGAGGUCGUUUGGAGGAGCGACGCCCCGUGACUCGCCACCGCCAAUAAGCCCGGCCCUUGAGAAAAGUCUGGUUUUUAGCGGUAAACCCCCAGCAGCCGUCCGUACCGCAACGUUCUCCGAAACUCUCCCUUUACCUCAUUGAUGGAUUUCGGCUAUAGUCUUCCCCAGUCACAAAAGGCCCUGUCCCAUUGCUGAACCUCACAGGCGCCCGACUCUCUGCAUCCCUGUCCACUCCGUAACCAAGGAGCCAGGACACAAUGGCCCCUCCUUGGACCUUAAAGAGAAGUCGGCGGCACUUCAAUGCUCUUCUUUUUCCAUUAAUCCUCUUUUUUUCGCCCCUGUCUACCUCCAGGUGAAAAUUUCACGAUUCUCAUACUUUUAUCACCAAUUUUAGCCCUAAUCGUCGAUCUAGGAACCCAUUCUGCAUAAUGAUGGCACGCAUUGACGUGGCCGUCCUCUAGUCGUUUGCCUUACCAAUUCCCUUGGUCCCUGCCACGUCCAUUAGCCACAGCUCACUGCAUUAAGGCCCUAACAGACCCGCCGUGUGUGGCGAAGUUGCAUAUAGGAGGGAUUGGUGUACAAGUGUCUUGACGCCGAUGAUGUUAAUAUUUCUGAUGGUUGUUAAAACAUCUAUAUUAUAAGAGAGGCUUGCUCACACAUG
rnacentral:sRNA from 1 species